CAGGGGCGGCAGGCUUACACAUGCAGUCGAGCGGUAGCACAGGGGAGCUUGCUCCCCGGGUGACGAGCGGCGGACGGGUGAGUAAUGUCUGGGAAACUGCCUGAUGGAGGGGGAUAACUACUGGAAACGGUAGCUAAUACCGCAUAACGUCGCAAGACCAAAGAGGGGGACCUUCGGGCCUCUUGCCAUCAGAUGUGCCCAGAUGGGAUUAGCUAGUAGGUGGGGUAAUGGCUCACCUAGGCGACGAUCCCUAGCUGGUCUGAGAGGAUGACCAGCCACACUGGAACUGAGACACGGUCCAGACUCCUACGGGAGGCAGCAGUGGGGAAUAUUGCACAAUGGGCGCAAGCCUGAUGCAGCCAUGCCGCGUGUGUGAAGAAGGCCUUCGGGUUGUAAAGCACUUUCAGCGAGGAGGAAGGUGGUGAGCUUAAUACGCUCAUCAAUUGACGUUACUCGCAGAAGAAGCACCGGCUAACUCCGUGCCAGCAGCCGCGGUAAUACGGAGGGUGCAAGCGUUAAUCGGAAUUACUGGGCGUAAAGCGCACGCAGGCGGUUUGUUAAGUCAGAUGUGAAAUCCCCGGGCUCAACCUGGGAACUGCAUUUGAAACUGGCAAGCUAGAGUCUCGUAGAGGGGGGUAGAAUUCCAGGUGUAGCGGUGAAAUGCGUAGAGAUCUGGAGGAAUACCGGUGGCGAAGGCGGCCCCCUGGACGAAGACUGACGCUCAGGUGCGAAAGCGUGGGGAGCAAACAGGAUUAGAUACCCUGGUAGUCCACGCUGUAAACGAUGUCGAUUUGGAGGUUGUGCCCUUGAGGCGUGGCUUCCGGAGCUAACGCGUUAAAUCGACCGCCUGGGGAGUACGGCCGCAAGGUUAAAACUCAAAUGAAUUGACGGGGGCCCGCACAAGCGGUGGAGCAUGUGGUUUAAUUCGAUGCAACGCGAAGAACCUUACCUACUCUUGACAUCCAGAGAACUUAGCAGAGAUGCUUUGGUGCCUUCGGGAACUCUGAGACAGGUGCUGCAUGGCUGUCGUCAGCUCGUGUUGUGAAAUGUUGGGUUAAGUCCCGCACGAGCGCAACCCUUAUCCUUUGUUGCCAGCGGUCGGCCGGGACUCAAAGAGACUGCCCAGUGAUAAACUGAGAAGGUGGGGAUGACGUCAGUCAUCAUGGCCUUACGAGUAGGGCUAACAACGUGCUUACAUUGGCCGUAAUACAAGAGAAGCGGACCCUCCGCCGGAAGAGAACAGAGCGCGAAACUCA
rnacentral:rRNA from 1 species